rnacentral:rRNA from 1 species
UACGUAGAUGGCAAGCGUUGUCCGGAUUUACUGGGCGUAAAGGAUGCGUAGGCGGACAUUUAAGUCAGAUGUGAAAUACCCGAGCUUAACUUGGGUGCUGCAUUUGAAACUGGGUGUCUAGAGUGCAGGAGAGGUAAGUGGAAUUCCUAGUGUAGCGGUGAAAUGCGUAGAGAUUAGGAAGAACACCAGUGGCGAAGGCGACUUACUGGACUGUAACUGACGCUGAGGCAUGAAAGCGUGGGGAGCAAACAGG